CCUACGGGAGGCAGCAGUGAGGAAUAUUGGUCAAUGGGCGCGAGCCUGAACCAGCCACGUAGCGUGAAGGAUGAAUGCCCUACGGGUUGUAAACUUCUUUUAUAAAGGAAUAAAGUGAGGCACGUGUGCCUUUUUGUAUGUACUUUAUGAAUAAGGAUCGGCUAACUCCGUGCCAGCAGCCGCGGUAAUACGGAGGAUCCGAGCGUUAUCCGGAUUUAUUGGGUUUAAAGGGAGCGUAGAUGGGUUGUUAAGUCAGUUGUGAAAGUUUGCGGCUCAACCGUAAAAUUGCAAUUGAUACUGGCUGUCUUGAGUACAGUUGAGGUAGGCGGAAUUCGUGGUGUAGCGGUGAAAUGCUUAGAUAUCACGAAGAACACCGAUUGCGAAGGCAGCUUACUAAACUGCCACUGACAUUGAUGCUCGAAAGUGUGGGUAUCAAACAGGAUUAGAUACCCCUGUAGUC
rnacentral:rRNA from 1 species